rnacentral:rRNA from 1 species
CACUCCUGCGGGAGGCAGCAGUGGGGAAUUUUGGACAAUGGGCGAAAGCCUGAUCCAGCAAUGCCGCGUGAGUGAAGAAGGCCUUCGGGUUGUAAAGCUCUUUUGUCAGGGAAGAAACGGUGAGAGCUAAUAUCUCUUGCUAAUGACGGUACCUGAAGAAUAAGCACCGGCUAACUACGUGCCAGCAGCCGCGGUAAUACGUAGGGUGCAAGCGUUAAUCGGAAUUACUGGGCGUAAAGCGUGCGCAGGCGGUUUUGUAAGUCUGAUGUGAAAUCCCCGGGCUCAACCUGGGAAUUGCAUUGGAGACUGCAAGGCUAGAAUCUGGCAGAGGGGGGUAGAAUUCCACGUGUAGCAGUGAAAUGCGUAGAUAUGUGGAGGAACACCGAUGGCGAAGGCAGCCCCCUGGGUCAAGAUUGACGCUCAUGCACGAAAGCGUGGGGAGCAAACAGGAUUAGAAACCCGUGUAGUCCCAUGAU